GCCCAAGUGGCGUAAUGGCUAACGCGUCGGCCUCCUAAGCCGAAGAUUGCGAGUUCGAAUCUCGCCUUGGGUA